CACGUAGGGGGCGAGCGUUGUCCGGAUUUAUUGGGCGUAAAGAGCUCGUAGGCGGUUUCGUAAGUCGGAUGUGAAAACUCCAGCUCAACUUGGAGACGCCAUUCGAUACUGCGAUGACUUGAGUCCGGUAGGGGAGUGUGGAAUUCCUGGUGUAGCGAUGAAAUGCGCAGAUAUCAGGAGGAACACCGGCGGCGAAGGCGGCACUCUGGGCCGGUACUGACGCUGAGGAGCGAAAGCGUGGGUAGCAAACAGG
rnacentral:rRNA from 1 species